UGACGACAGUUUCCUCCUGCUGCUCUAAGCUUUUGGCAUGUCAGGGUUUUAGGUCGUCACAGAGCAGACGGGUCUAUUUCACCCAGCGUGCGGCAGGCAGCAGGGCUGCCCCUCUCCACUCUGGCUUUGCGGGACCCAACACUC